UUGUUGGUAAGGUAAAAGCUUACCAAGGCUUCGAUCAGUAGCUGGUCUGAGAGGACGACCAGCCACACUGGGACUGAGACACGGCCCAGACUCCUACGGGAGGCAGCAGUGGGGAAUUUUGGACAAUGGGGGCAACCCUGAUCCAGCCAUGCCGCGUGAGUGAAGAAGGCCUUCGGGUUGUAAAGCUCUUUCAGCCGGAACGAAACGGUUACGGAUAACACCCGUGACUACUGACGGUACCGGAAGAAGAAGCACCGGCUAACUACGUGCCAGCAGCCGCGGUAAUACGUAGGGUGCGAGCGUUAAUCGGAAUUACUGGGCGUAAAGCGUGCGCAGGUGGUUUUGUAAGUCAGAUGUGAAAGCCCCGGGCUCAACCUGGGAACUGCGUUUGAAACUACAAGACUAGAGUGUGGCGGAGGGGGGUGGAAUUCCGCGUGUAGCAGUGAAAUGCGUAGAGAUGUGGAGGAACACCGAUGGCGAAGGCAGCCCCCUGGGUCAACACUGACGCUCAGGCACGAAAGCAUGGGGAGCAAACAGGAUUAGAUACCCUGGUAGUCCAUGCCCUAAACGAUGUCAACUAGUUGUCGGGCCUUUACGGGCUUGGUAACGUAGCUAACGCGUGAAGUUGACCGCCUGGGGAGUACGAUCGCAAGAUUAAAACUCAAAUGAAUUGACGGGGACCCGCACAAGCGGUGGAUUAUGUGGAUUAAUUCGAUGCAACGCGAAAAACCUUACCUACCCUUGACAUGUAUCGAAGCCCGCAGAAAAGCGGGGGUGCCCGAAAGGGAACGAUAACACAGGUGCUGCAUGGCUGUCGUCAGCUCGUGUCGUGAGAUGUUGGGUUAAGUCCCGCAACGAGCGCAACCCUUGUCAUUAAUUGCCAUCAUUUAGUUGGGCACUUUAAUGAGACUGCCGG
rnacentral:rRNA from 1 species